UGCAAAUGCACAUUCUCAUUUCUAUCAUAUAGUCUUGCCUGUUGUCUAUAAAUAUUUGGCUUUGCAGUCCUUAAUGUUCCUUUUACUGUCUCUUUUUUUAUGGUAGCUAGUCUUAAAAUUUUUCAAAUACAUCAAAACCAAAUGAACUUCCCAUUUCAUUAAGGAAACAGCAGUGCUAUCAGUACAAGUGUCAUCAGCAAAUGAGAUCAAGAGGAAACAAAAUGAAAAAGCUAUUUUACAAAACAAGUGGUCUCACCCAUGCAACGCAACCAAAUUAAUUGGAACGAUUGAGACGAACCAAAGCAAAGCCUGAAGUGGAACCCACUGCCAUCAUUUCAAGACCUUUUAUUUCAAGUAACCACGUGGGGAACAUGAUGGUGAUUGCGGCCAGUGUGGAGUGGUUGCCUUCGUCCAACAUGGGCGGAGUGCUGCUGAGCCUGCAGGGCUGAGCCAAAGCUGCUACAGAGACUUCCCAGGCGAUGUCUGAUUGGAAAACUUUGAAUAUGGUCUCCUAUCAUGAGUUAUUACUGCUCCUGAAUGUACAGCACUUAGGAAUACAAAUGGUGGUCUCUGCAGCACAUUUAAAUGGGCUGUGUGUUGUCUGUCCUUUCUCACGUUGUGGAAUGUGUUCCUAUGGGUUCCUCUGUUGGAGAAGCGUGACAUCAUUUUUCAGACAGAAUCGGUGAGGCUUUAAGUUCAGAUACCCGACAGAAUCACAGAACUGUGGAAUCCUUGGGGUUAGAAGGGACCUCUGAAGCUCGCCUAGUCCAGCUCACCUGCACUGAACAGCAACAUGCACGGCUAGGCCAGGAAACGUGGUUGAGACUUCACAUCUUCAGGCUUUCUCAAAUGUGAAGAACUUUCUUAAUGCCUAUCGAAAUUUGGGAUUCUUUGUAACCGAAUAAUUCCUGGAGGCUGAGCUGUAAAGAAAACACGGGCUGCUCGAACACAUUCUCCAGAAUUCUAAAAAUGCAAAACAAUUAUUGUUGGCUUCAAAGAGUUACUCAGAGUAAAGAACAGCUUUAUCUACAUCUGAUCUUCAGGGGGGGGGGAAAAAAAAAGCAUAUGGGCCUGGAAACAUCCCAGCCUCUCAGACAGCACUGAUAUUCUCCUAAUGCAGCUACCAGGCCAGGUGUACUUCAGUGUGAGGGCUGUGCGGUGGCCUUCAGCAGGUCUUUUGAAGCUGCCCUCCUGCUGCGUUUUGGUUAUAGGGCAGAGGUUUAUGAGUGUACGGUCGCUAACCACGGAGUGUUCAUACGUUUAAGCUUCAUCACCAAAUCAGGCCAUAGGUGUAUAAAGACGGCCUUCUGAGGAGCAGCGUGGGUU
ensembl:lncRNA